rnacentral:rRNA from 1 species
UCCUACGGGAGGCAGCAGUCGAGAAUCUUCGGCAAUGGGCGCAAGCCUGACCGAGCGACGCCGCGUGGAGGAUGAAGGCCUUCGGGUUGUAAACUCCUGUCGAGGGGGAGGAAGGUCGGGCAACCGGCUUGACCGAUCCCUGGAGGAAGCACGGGCUAAGUUCGUGCCAGCAGCCGCGGUA